AUUCCAGCUCCAAUAGCGUAUAUUAAAGUUGUUGCAGUUAAAAAGCUCGUAGUUGGAUUUCCGGCGUGAGGGAUCAGUCUGACUUCUAGUCAGUACUUGGUCCUCUCAUGCCGUCCUUGAAUGGUGCAUCCUGGCAUUAAGUUGUCGGGGUGAGAGCCGUUCAUCGUUUACUGUGAGAAAAUUAGAGUGUUCAAAGCAGGCUUAUGCCGUUGAAUAUAUUAGCAUGGAAUAAUAAGAUAGGACUUUGGUACUAUUUUGUUGGUUUGAGAACCAAGGUAAUGAUCAAUAGGGACAGUUGGGGGUAUUCGUAUUCAGUUGUCAGAGGUGAAAUUCUUAGAUUUCCGGAAGACGAACUAAUGCGAAAGCAUCUACCAAGGAUGUUUUCAUUA
rnacentral:rRNA from 1 species